CGAAUGCUGACAUAAGUAACGAUAAAGCGGGUGAAAAGCCCGCUCGCCGGAAGACCAAGGGUUCCUGUCCAACGUUAAUCGGGGCAGGGUGAGUCGACCCCUAAGGCGAGGCCGAAAGGCGUAGUCGAUGGGAAACAGGUUAAUAUUCCUGUACUUGGUGUUACUGCGAAGGGGGGACGGAGAAGGCUAUGUUGGCCGGGCGACGGUUGUCCCGGUUUAAGCGUGUAGGCUGGUUUUCCAGGCAAAUCCGGAAAAUCAAGGCUGAGGCGUGAUGACGAGGCACUACGGUGCUGAAGCAACAAAUGCCCUGCUUCCAGGAAAAGCCUCUAAGCAUCAGGUAACAUCAAAUCGUACCCCAAACCGACACAGGUGGUCAGGUAGAGAAUACCAAGGCGCUUGAGAGAACUCGGGUGAAGGAACUAGGCAAAAUGGUGCCGUAACUUCGGGAGAAGGCACGCUGAUAUGUAGGUGAAGCGACUUGCUCGUGGAGCUGAAAUCAGUCGAAGAUACCAGCUGGCUGCAACUGUUUAUUAAAAACACAGCACUGUGCAAACACGAAAGUGGACGUAUACGG
rnacentral:rRNA from 1 species